UACAGAGGGUGCGAGCGUUGUUCGGAAUUACUGGGCGUAAAGCGCGCGCAGGCGGAUCCUGUAAGUCUGAAGUGAAAUCUCACUGCUCAACGGUGAGACUGCUCUGGAUACUGCGGAUCUUGAGACCGGUAGAGACUGGUAGAAUUGCAGGUGUAGCGGUGGAAUGCGUAGAGAUCAGGAGGAACACCAAUGGCGAAGGCAGCACUCUGGGACGUGACUGACGCUGAGACGCGAAAGCGUGGGGAGCAAACAGG
rnacentral:rRNA from 1 species